rnacentral:rRNA from 1 species
UAAUGCAGCUAACGCAUUAAGUGUACCGCCUGGGGAGUACGGUCGCAAGAUUAAAACUCAAAGGAAUAGACGGGGACCCGCACAAGCGGUGGAGCAUGUGGUUUAAUUCGAAGAUACGCGAAGAACCUUACCUGGGCUUGAUAUCCUAAGAACCUUAUAGAGAUAUGAGGGUGCUAGCUUGCUAGAACUUAGAGACAGGUGCUGCACGGCUGUCGUCAGCUCGUGUCGUGAGAUGUUGGGUUAAGUCCCGCAACGAGCGCAACCCACGUAUUUAGUUGCUAACGGUUCGGCCGAGCACUCUAAAUAGACUGCCUUCGUAAGGAGGAGGAAGGUGUGGACGACGUCAAGUCAUCAUGGCCCUUAUGCCCAGGGCGACACACGUGCUACAAUGGCAUAUACAAUGAGACGCAAUACCGCGAGGUGGAGCAAAUCUAUAAAAUAUGUCCCAGUUCGGAUUGUUCUCUGCAACUCGAGAGCAUGAAGCCGGAAUCGCUAGUAAUCGUAGAUCAGCCAUGCUACGGUGAAUACGUUCCCGGGUCUUGUACUCACCGCCCGUCACACCAUGGGAGUUGAUUUCACUCGAAGCCGGAAUACUAAACUAGUUACCGUCCACAGUGGAAUCAGCGACUGGGGUGAAGUCGUAACAAGGUAACCGUAGGAGAACCUGCGGUUGGAUCACCUCCUUUCUA